AGAGUUUGAUCCUGGCUCAGGAUGAACGCUAGCUACAGGCUUAACACAUGCAAGCCGAGGGGAAACGAUAUUGGAAGCUUGCUUCCGAUAGGCGUCGACCGGCGCACGGGUGAGUAACGCGUAUCCAACCUGCCCACCACUUGGGGAUAACCUUGCGAAAGUAAGACUAAUACCCAAUGAUAUCUCUAGAAGACAUCUGAAAGAGAUUAAAGAUUUAUCGGUGAUGGAUGGGGAUGCGUCUGAUUAGCUUGUUGGCGGGGUAACGGCCCACCAAGGCAACGAUCAGUAGGGGUUCUGAGAGGAAGGUCCCCCACAUUGGAACUGAGACACGGUCCAAACUCCUACGGGAGGCAGCAGUGAGGAAUAUUGGUCAAUGGACGAGAGUCUGAACCAGCCAAGUAGCGCGCAGGAAGACGGCCCUAUGGGUUGUAAACUGCUUUUAUAAGGGAAUAAAGUGAGAGUCGUGACUCUUUUUGCAUGUACCUUAUGAAUAAGGACCGGCUAAUUCCGUGCCAGCAGCCGCGGUAAUACGGAAGGUCCGGGCGUUAUCCGGAUUUAUUGGGUUUAAAGGGAGCGUAGGCCGGAGAUUAAGCGUGUUGUGAAAUGUAGACGCUCAACGUCUGCACUGCAGCGCGAACUGGUUUCCUUGAGUACGCACAAAGUGGGCGGAAUUCGUGGUGUAGCGGUGAAAUGCUUAGAUAUCACGAAGAACUCCGAUUGCGAAGGCAGCUCACUGGAGCGCAACUGACGCUGAAGCUCGAAAGUGCGGGUAUCGAACAGGAUUAGAUACCCUGGUAGUCCGCACGGUAAACGAUGGAUGCCCGCUGUUGGUCUGAAUAGGUCAGCGGCCAAGCGAAAGCAUUAAGCAUCCCACCUGGGGAGUACGCCGGCAACAGUGAAACUCAAAGGAAUUGACGGGGACCCGCACAAGUAGCGGAGCAUGUGGUUUAAUUCGAAGCAACGCGAAGAACCUUACCUAAGCUUGACAUCCUUUUGACCGAUGCCUAAUCGCAUCUUUCCCUUCGGGGACAGAAGUGACAGGUGGUGCAUGGUUGUCGUCAGCUCGUGUCGUGAGAUGUUGGGUUAAGUCCCACAACGAGCGCAACCCUUGCCUUUAGUUGCCAGCAUUAAGUUGGGCACUCUAGAGGGACUGCCAGGGAUAACCUGGAGGAAGGUGGGGAUGACGUCAAAUCAUCAUGCCCCUUAUGCUUAGGGCUACACACGUGCUACAAUGGGUGGUACAGAGGGCAGCCAGGUCGUGAGGCGGAGCUAAUCCCUUAAAGCCAUUCUCAGUUCGGAUUGUAGGCUGAAACUCGCCUACAUGAAGCUGGAGUUACUAGUAAUCGCAGAUCAGAAUGCUGCGGUGAAUGCGUUCCCGGGUCUUGUACACACCGCCCGUCACACCACGGGAGUUGGGGGCGCCCGAAGCCGGAUUGCUAACCUUUUGGAAGCGUCCGUCGAAGGUGAAAUCAAUAACUGGGGUGAAGUCGUAACAAGGUA
rnacentral:rRNA from 1 species